UACGUAGGGGGCGAGCGUUGUCCGGAUUUAUUGGGCGUAAAGAGCGUGUAGGCGGCCAGGUAGGUAUGCUGUGAAAACUCGAGGCUCAACCUCGAGACGUCGGCGGAAACCAUCUGGCUAGAGUCCGGAAGAGGAGAGUGGAAUUCCUGGUGUAGCGGUGAAAUGCGCAGAUAUCAGGAAGAACACCGGUGGCGAAGGCGGGUCUCUGGGCAGUAACUGACGCUGAGGAGCGAAAGCGUGGGGAGCGAACAGG
rnacentral:rRNA from 1 species